rnacentral:rRNA from 1 species
UACAGAGGUCCCAAGCGUUGUUCGGAUUUACUGGGCGUAAAGGGUGCGUAGGAGGUUGGCAAAGUCGGGUGUGAAAUCUCACCGCUUAACGGUGAAAUUGCGCUCGAUACUGGUUGACUAGAGUAUCGGAGGGGAAAGCGGAAUUCCUGGUGUAGCGGUGAAAUGCGUAGAUAUCUGGAGGAAUACCGGUGGCGAAGGCGGCAUCCUGGACCGGCAUUGACGCUGAGGAGCGAAAGCCAGGGGAGCAAACGGG